CUGCUGUCCCAGUUUACACGGUGGUGCUGCACCUCAAGAACGAGCUCAACCGCGGCACUUUCUUCAUGACCCUGCAGAACCAGCCCGUGGCCCUCAGCCUGUACCGCCAGUUCUGCCGGCACCAGGAGCGGGAGACGCUGAAGGAUUUG